rnacentral:rRNA from 1 species
GCUCAGUAACACGUGGACAACGUACCCUAAAGUGGAGCAUAAUCUCGGGAAACUGAGGAUAAUUCUCCAUAGACCAUGAGAUCUGGAAUGACUUAUGGUUCAAAGUUCCGGCGCUUUAGGAUCGGUCUGCGGCCUAUCAGGUAGUAGUGGGUGUAACGUACCCCCUAGCCGUUGACGGGUAUGGGCCUUGAGAGAGGGAGCCCAGAGUUGGAUUCUGAGACACGAAUCCAGGCCCUACGGGGCGCAGCAGUCGCGAAAACUUCACAAUGGGCGAAAGCCCGAUGAGGGAAUUCCUAGUGCUAGCACUUUUGUGCUAGCUUUUCUUCAGCGUAGAUAACUGGAGGAAUAAGGGCUGGGUAAGACGGGUGCCAGCCGCCGCGGUAAUACCCGCAGCCCGAGUGGUGGUCGAUUUUAUUGAGUCUAAAACGUUCGUAGCCGGUCUAAUAAAUCCUUGGGUAAAUCGGAAGGCUUAACUUUCCGAAUUCCGAGGAGACUGUUAGGCUUGGGAUCGGGAGAGGUAAGAGGUACUUCAGGGGUAGGGGUAAAAUCCUGUAAUCCUUGGAGGACCACCGGUGGCGAAGGCGUCUUACUAGAACGAAUCCGACGGUGAGGGACGAAGCCCUAGGUCGCAAACGGGAUUAGAUACCCCGGUAGUCUAGGGUGUAAACGCUGCAGACUUGGUGUUGGGGGCCCUUCGGGGGCAUUCAGUGCCGGAGAGAAGUUGUUAAGUCUGCUACUUGGGGAGUACGUCCGCAAGGAUGAAACUUAAAGGAAUUGGCGGGGGAGCACCGCAACGGGAGGAGCGUGCGGUUUAAUUGGAUUCAACACCGGAAAACUCACCAAGGGAGACCAUCACAUGAAAGCCAGGCUAAUGACUUUGCUUGAUUCUUGGAGAAGU